ensembl:snoRNA
AUUAACUAAAAAACACUUGCAGCUUUGCCCAUGAUCAUGGGUACGACUCAGCACCCAGAGUGGGGCCUCAGCUCACGGCCUACUAGCUGAUGUAAGGAGGUGAAACCCAGGUCUGGACAUAG